UGUGCAGUGCUAGGCUAGGUGUAGCAAAUCAUUGCUGUGUUAUCUAAUAGCACCAAACUAAUAGAGCUAUCACAUAACUGAGAAACUUGUGUAGCUUAUUACAAAUGCAUGAAACCACAUAUUACCUUAAUGAAGACAGUAAUCUUUAAUAAGGUGUAGAAAAAAAGAGAAGAAUUUUUGUUUAUAUUCCAGCUAUGAUAAACAAAGAAGUGUACUGAAUCUUUUGGACUACACAGAGUGAUGUAGUAUUGACUGUGAUGCUGAUCUGAGUUGUCUCAUUCUGUAUUUUUGUGCUUUGUCUUUUGUUACACAGAGUGAAAGAGAUCUUUGGUUUUGCCUUUGCUGACUGCUGAUCUGAUCGUCUCAAAUCUGGUGACCUUUUGCAGAAAGCCCUCUCCCUCUAUCAUUAACAAGCCAUUCAGCCUGUCCUAUCACUCUCCCUACUCUAUCUAUUUUGACAAGCCAUUCUAUCUUGUAUCACUCUAUCCCAAGAGCUCUAUCUAAUUUACCAAAAAUCAAGUUUUGACUGGAAUCAAGUUUUGACUGGAAUCAAGUUUUGACUGGAAUCAAGUUUUGACUGGAAUCAAGCUUUGACUGGUCCCAGUUUUUGGGAAUUGAAGUUACCAGUACUUCAUCUAUCUGUUACAGAAUUCUGACAGAGGCUGCCCUGAGAACCCAGACUUCCUGUUUCCUGACUGCUGCAGAACAUCCAGCUGAAGAAUCCCCAUCACCUGUCAUCUGAUCACCACAC